GGGGGAAUAGUGUAGGGGUUAUCACAUCUGCUUUGCAUCAGAUGAUGAAUUUGUAGAAGGUCCGGGGUUCAAAUCCCCGUUUCUCCA
rnacentral:tRNA from 1 species